rnacentral:tRNA from 1 species
GUCUUAAUAGUAUAAUAUAUUACUCUGGUCUUGUAAACCAGAAAUGAAGAAUAAAUCUCCUUAAGACA